CAGCAGCCGCGGUAAUACGGGGGUGGCAAGCGUUACUCGGAAUUAUUGGGUGUAAAGGGCAGGUAGGUGGCUUUGUAAGUGAGGGGUGAAAUCCUGCGGUUUAAUCGCAGAACAGCCUUUCAAACUGCAUAGCUUGAGAGUGACAGAGGAAGAUGGAAUUCCUGGUGUAAGGGUGAAAUCUGUAGAUAUCAGGAAGAACACCAACGGCGAAGGCAAUCUUCUGGGUCACUUCUGACACUGAGCUGCGAAAGCUAGGGUAGCAAACAGAAUUAGAUACUCUGGUAGUCCUAGCCGUAAACGAUGAAUACUAGGUGUUGGUCCUUUCGGGGAUCAGCGCCGAAGCUAACGCAUUAAGUAUUCCACCUGGGGACUACGGUCGCAAGGCUAAAACUCAAAGGAAUUGACGG
rnacentral:rRNA from 1 species